rnacentral:rRNA from 1 species
UACGUAGGGGGCGAGCGUUAUCCGGAUUUACUGGGCGUAAAGCGCGUUAAGGCGGUCGGCAAAGUUGGUUGUGAAAUCCCAGGGCUCAACCCUGAAAUUGCGACCAAUACUGGUCGACUAGAGUGUGAGAGAGGAAGGUGGAAUUCCCGGUGUAGUAGUGAAAUGCGUAGAUAUCGGGAGGAACACCAGUGGCGAAGGCGGCCUUCUGGCUCAUAACUGACGCUGUAGCGCGAAAGCGUGGGGAGCGAACCGG